UGAACCUGGCUCAGGAUGAACGCUGGCGGCGUGCCUAAUACAUGCAAGUCGAGCGAACCACUUCGGUGGUGAGCGGCGAACGGGUGAGUAACACGUAGGUGAUCUGCCCAUCAGACGGGGACAACGAUUGGAAACGAUCGCUAAUACCGGAUAGGACGAAAGUUUAAAGGUGCUUCUGGCACCGCUGAUGGAUGAGCCUGCGGCGCAUUAGCUAGUUGGUAGGGUAAAGGCCUACCAAGGCGACGAUGCGUAGCCGACCUGAGAGGGUGAACGGCCACACUGGGACUGAGACACGGCCCAGACUCCUACGGGAGGCAGCAGUAGGGAAUCUUCGGCAAUGGGCGAAAGCCUGACCGAGCAACGCCGCGUGAAUGAUGAAGGCCUUCGGGUUGUAAAAUUCUGUUAUAAGGGAAGAACGACUUUAGUAGGAAAUGGCUAGAGUGUGACGGUACCUUAUGAGAAAGCCACGGCUAACUACGUGCCAGCAGCCGCGGUAAUACGUAGGUGGCGAGCGUUAUCCGGAAUUAUUGGGCGUAAAGAGCGCGCAGGUGGUUGAUUAAGUCUGAUGUGAAAGCCCACGGCUUAACCGUGGA
rnacentral:rRNA from 1 species